rnacentral:rRNA from 1 species
CAGCCGCCGCGGUAAUACGUAGGGUCCGAGCGUUGUCCGGAAUUAUUGGGCGUAAAGGGCUCGUAGGCGGUUUGUUGCGUCGGGAGUGAAAACCCAGGGCUUAACUUUGGGCUUGCUUUCGAUACGGGCAGACUUGAGGCAUUGAGGGGAGAACGGAAUUCCUGGUGUAGCGGUGAAAUGCGCAGAUAUUAGGAGGAACACCGGUGGCGAAGGCGGUUCUCUGGCAAUGUUCUGACGCUGAGGAGCGAAAGUGUGGGGAGCGAACAGGAUUAGAUACCCCUGUAGUCCCUGUCUCUUAUAC